UACGGAGGGUGCAAGCGUUAUCCGGAUUACUGGGUUUAAAGGGUGCGUAGGCGGGUAAGUAAGUCCGUGGUGAAAUCUCUGAGCUUAACUCAGAAACUGCCGUGGAUACUAUUUGCCUUGAAUAUUGUGGAGGUGAGCGGAAUAUGUCAUGUAGCGGUGAAAUGCUUAGAUAUGACAUAGAACACCAAUUGCGAAGGCAGCUCACUACACGAAUAUUGACACUGAGGCACGAAAGCGUGGGGAUCAAACAGG
rnacentral:rRNA from 1 species